rnacentral:miRNA from 1 species
UGUAUUGGAACACUACAGCUCCC